CUACCGGCACCGAGAGGUGCCGGGAUGGGUCGGCGGAAGUCAGCCGAGGGCAUAGUAGGCCGUUCGACUUGGCUGAAGGCC
rnacentral:ncRNA from 1 species